rnacentral:rRNA from 1 species
UACGUAGGCAGCAAGCGUUGUUCGGAAUUACUGGGCGUAAAGAGUGUGUAGGCGGUGCUCUAAGUUGGUGUGAAAUCUCCCGGCUCAACUGGGAGGGUGCGCCGGAAACUGGAGUGCUGGAGCGCGGGAGAGGAAAGCGGAAUUCCUGGUGUAGCGGUGAAAUGCGUAGAUAUCAGGAGGAACACCUGCGGUGUAGACGGCUUACUGGACCGUAACUGACGCUGAGGCACGAAAGCGUGGGUAGCAAACAGG